UGCCUAAACCAGCCACCCGGCUGGCACGGUACUAAAUCCUACAGGAAUACUGACGGUCUAUCGACCGGCAUCUAUUCCUGUAGGUCAAUGUUCCGAAAGGGCAUUGGGCAGUUUCCGAAAGGUUGCUGUC
rnacentral:sRNA from 1 species